rnacentral:rRNA from 1 species
CAGCAGCCGCGGGAAUACGAAGGGUGCAAGCGUUACUCGGAAUUACUGGGCGUAAAGCGUGCGUAGGUGGUGGUUUAAGUCCGUUGUGAAAGCCCUGGGCUCAACCUGGGAAUUGCAGUGGAUACUGGAUCACUAGAGUGUGGUAGAGGAUAGUGGAAUUUCCGGUGUAGCAGUGAAAUGCGUAGAGAUCGGAAGGAACAUCUGUGGCGAAGGCGACUAUCUGGGCCAACACUGACACUGAGGCACGAAAGCGUGGGGAGCAAACAGGAUUAGAUACCCGAGUAGUCCCAGUCUCUUAUAA